rnacentral:rRNA from 1 species
CCAGACUCCUACGGGAGGCAGCAGUAGGGAAUAUUGCACAAUGGGGGAAACCCUGAUGCAGCAACGCCGCGUGAGUGAAGAAGUAUUUCGGUAUGUAAAGCUCUAUCAGCAGGGAAGAAGAAAGACGGUACCUGACUAAGAAGCCCCGGCUAACUACGUGCCAGCAGCCGCGGUAAUACGUAGGUGGCAAGCGUUAUCCGGAUUUACUGGGUGUAAAGGGCGUGUAGGCGGGACUGCAAGUCAGAUGUGAAAACCAUGGGCUCAACCUAUGGCCUGCAUUUGAAACUGUAGUUCUUGAGUACUGGAGAGGCAGACGGAAUUCCUAGUGUAGCGGUGAAAUGCGUAGAUAUUAGGAGGAACACCAGUGGCGAAGGCGGCCUGCUGGACGGUGUACUGACGCUGAGGCUCGAAAGCGUGGGGAGCAAACAGGAUUAGAUACCCUGGUA